UUGAGUGCACAAUUUGCCCAAGUUGAGCAAUUAGGGUUUGAUGAUCCACACUUUCUCCAGAGGCUUCUCACUGUGUACUUUAGAGAAUCAACCCAGUCUAUUACUUCUUUGGAAAAUGCACUGGAGCGGCCUUCGUGCAAUCUCAGAACACUGGAAAGGCCACUUCAUAAGUUUAAGGGGGCCUGUGUCAGCAUUGGUGCCAUUAGAGUGACCCGUGAAGUAGACCUUGCACUUCAAGCUUGCAGGGAAGAUGACGUGGAUGGGGCCAAGGCUGCUGUGGAACGGAUAAAUAAUGAAUAUAUACGUCUGCGUCGUAGGCUCCAGGAUUACUUCCAGGUCUCCCUCUCUCUCUCUCUGUACAUACAUACAUUCGUACGUGCAUGUGUGUAUGUAGGUGUCUGUGAGUGUAUUUAUACAUCUAGCACUAUACAUUAUUCUGACAAUUGAUCUUCUUACUAAAUCAGCUAAUGCGACAAGCUGGACCUUCUGAGCGUGCUGUUCGUCCAAGAUAGAUUCAAGAAGUUUAAUGUGCUACCCACAUUGAAGAAAAUAAAUACUUUAGAUCAUAUAAAAUGCACGUCCAUGACCAAUGUAAUAAGGUUAAGGUUUAACCAUCUUGUUCUCCUUUGUAGUGCUUCACUUUUUCGGUGCAUGGCGAAACACAUGUUUAAUCAUUCUAAAUCAAUUUAAUGCCUUUUUUAUUUUCUCAUAUGCAAUGUUCGGAGUAAUCAAAAUCAUGUUUCACAAAAUGAGUAUUUAAAUUCAUUCCUGACUACACCAUGAAAUGAAGAUGCAUAAAUAUACAAGAUCCUACCCACAAACUUGGUUUCAUUUUAAGAAAAUAAUUAAGAAUAAGCAAUAUCUUCAAAGUAUCAGGGGAUCUUGGCCUUAUCAACUUCAACAGUAUAAAAGGUAAAAGAUAGUAAAA